rnacentral:rRNA from 1 species
AACGAACGCUGGCGGCAUGCCUAACACAUGCAAGUCGAACGAGACCUUCUGGUCUAUUUGCGCACGGGUUCGUAACGCGUGGGAACCUUCCCGUAUGUUCGGAAUAACUCCCCGAAAGGGGUGCUAAUACCGGAUAAUUGCUUCUGACCAAAGAUUUAUCGCCUUUGGAUGUGCCCGCGUGGGAUUAGCUAUUUGGUAGGGUAAAGGCCUACCAAGGCUACGAUCCCUAGCUGGUGUGAGAGGAUGAUCAGCAACACUGGGACUGAGACACGGCGCAGACUCUUACGGGAGGCAGAAGUGGGGAAUAUUGGACGACGGGCGAAAGAAUGAUCCAGCAAGGUCGCGUGAGUGAGGAAGGAGUGAGGGUUGUAAAGCUGUUUUAAACGCGCUGAUAAUGACAGUACCGGGAGAAUAAGCGCCGGCUAACUACGUG